CGAGGAAGGAAGUGUUUCGGGAUAAACGCUUGAAUGGUUAUUAACUGUAAUGGUUUGAUCAUGAAAGAGUUAGUAUGAAUAUUAACAAUAAAAUAAUGGAUUAGAUUAAUUUAAAUUUGUAAGAAUAUCUUUGAGUCUAAAAAAAGCAAUUCAAUUCUCAUGAAUAAGUUUGGCUUUUGGAAGUUGCGGGUUUUCCAACAAUGAAUCCACCUAACAAAAAGUUUGUUGUUAUAAAAAAUCUCCUUCAAGGUCAUUAAAGGUUUUUGGGACGGCAAGAUUUGAUGGUGGGACCAUUUUUUUUGCUCGAGUGCUAUGAAGUUUUUUUUAUAGUGUGAGGUUGAUGUUGAUAGAAUAAUGAGUUUCAUAGAGACUUUCUUGAUGUAAAACUAUAUUUUUUUUGUUUAAUGUGGUAUUUUCAUUUUUACAUAAUUUAAUACCAUUUUAAGAUAGAUGUCCAUUUUAUUUAAUGUACUCUUUCUAUUUUUUUGAAAACUGUGCAUUUACUUAUUAUUGUAUAUAUAAUUCAUAUAUUUAUAUAUUUAUAAUAUUUACUUAUUAUUUAUUUUUCUAUAUAUUUUUUAUUUCUCUUUCUUAUAUUUUAUAUUUUUUAAUAUCUAUAUUUUAUAUUUUAAGAUAUAUGUUUAAAUUUUAAUGUAUUUUUCCAUUUUUAAUGUAAAACGGCAAUGUAAUAGAAGAACUGGACAAAUUGUCAAAUAGUUAUAUUUAUGUUUUUUUUUUUUUUUAUAAAAUGGUAAUGUUACAUUAUGGAGAUAAACCGUUUUUUUUUUGUGAAAAAUGGUAAUCUUACAUAUGUUUAAUGUUGUUUUUCCAUUUUUUAUGUUGUAUGUUUACAUAUUAUUUUUAAAAAUGUAAAAUAGUAAUCUUACAUAUGUUUAAUGUAGUAUUUUCAUUUUUAUGUUGUAUGUUUACAUAUACAGCACAAAUAGUCAAAUAGUUAUAUUUAUGUUUUUUUUUUCUUUUUUUUUUAUAAAGUGGUAAUGUUACAUUAUGAAGAUAAACCGUUUUUUAGUGAACAAUGGUAAUCUUACAUAUGUUUAAUGUAAAUUUUCCAUUUUUUUAUGUUGUAUGUUUACAUAUUAUUGUUAUUUUUAAAUGUAAAAUAGUAAUCUUACAUAUGUUUAAUGUUGUAUUUCCAUUUUUAUGUUGUAUGUUUUACAUAUAUUUAUUAUUUUCGAAAUUAUAUAUAAUGUUUUUUGUUUUUUUUUAUAAAACGGUAAUGUUACAUUUUGGAGAUAAGCCGUUUUUUUUUAAGUGAAAAAUAGUAAUCUUACAUAUGUUUUAUGUAGUUUUUCCAUUUUUUAUGCUGUAUGUUUACAUAUUUUUUACAAUUUUCGAAACUAAGUAAUAUUAAAAUGUAAAACUAUAUUUUAUGCCACGUGUCAUCUUUCGGGAGAAAUUUUUUCCGCUGAUGUGGACGCCCUAUGGAGCCUCAAAAGUUCCCUUUUAUUAGUAGAGACUAGAUUUUGACCCGCGCUUGGAAAGCGCGGGGUUGUUGGAUUAUAUUAUAAUACAAAGUCUUAUUAUAUCGAAAAACAAAAUUUUUUAACUGUUAUAUAAUCUACAAAUUUGUUUAUUUACGAUUUUAUAUGUACACUUUUACGUAAGUUUCUUUUAGGCAUGAGAAUUAUAUCCGGAUCAAAAAAACAAACCGAACCGAUCCACAAAUAUAGGUUUAGUUCAGGUCCAGAAAAGAUAACCUAUUUGGUUUUUUUUGGACCCGCAUGUCUUUGUUUGAGUUCGGGUCCUACCCUAGACCCGAUCAUAAAUAUGUGUUUAUUAGGUAUAUUUGGAUAUUUCGAAUAUGUUUCCGGUAUUAUGAAUAUUUUUUUCUAAAGUUUUUGAUUUACGAUUAUAGUUUUUGAUUUCAGGUAAAUUUUUCAAAUUAAAAAAAUUGGUUUUGAUAAAAUUUUGGGUAUUUUUCAGUUCAUCGUGUCAGAUUUUGAAUAAGAUUUUGAAUUUUUAGGUAUUUGAAUUUUUUGGGUAUUUGUAUGGAGUUUCAAAUACUUUCUGUGUUUCAGAUAUUUUUCAGAUUUUUUAGAUAUUUCGAAUUUUUUUAAGAUUCUAAAUACCCGAACAGAUGCGGAUCCAUUACAUCCAUAUCAGGUCCAACAACUUUUUGAUAUAGAUUUUUAACGUUAUUGUACAAAAAAAAGGUUGAUAUAUUUUUCUGAAUAAAGAUAUCAUAAGAAAUAAUAUUAAAAUCUGUUAAAAAUAUUUAAAAUAUUAUAUGUUUAGAACUAUUAAUGGUAUUAUCAGAAAAAAUAAUAAAUAGUUAUACAUGACUCCAACAACUUUUUUAUAUUAUAUUUUUAAAACUAUUUCCCUUUUAAUAGUAUUGAUUCGUUUUAAGUGAAAAGUAUAUAAAAGUAUAAUAUCUAAACCAAUAAUUUUCAAAAUCGUGAAUAAUCAAUAUUGAUAUCGUGAAGUCGGUGUAGCUUUAACAGAACCAAUGGAUUUCUAUAUUUUUGUGAAGGUAACAUGAAUAUUCAGAAAACUCAUUUUUAAAUAUGAAAAUAUCUAUCAAACUAUAAACGGUUGAAAGUUUAGUAUAUGAUAUGAGAUUUUAGUGGGAAAGUUUAUAUACGAUAUGAUUAUUUUAUUGUAAACGAAAGAGGAAGUUAAAAUGUACACAUAUAUGUCGUGUAACUUCGCUUGCUUUAAAUCAUAUAUUAUAUGAUAAAAGUGAUACUAUAAAAAAUUAGUUUCAAUACUUUUACGAUUAAAAAUCAAAAUGGUAAAUAUAAUAAUAAUAAUGAUUAUGAUUUAGGAGUGAGAUUUGAAUAAAUAAAAGAAUUGAAUCCCCUAUAUAUUAUUUGAGAAGCAUUACAACAUUUUUUUGUAGCCACGUGUCAUCACUAGAAUGAUUCUUAGAAUCCUUAGAGAAAUAGGUUGGUCCAUCUAAAUAUAUAAUAAACUUUUUAUUAAACUAACCAUAAAUACAUUAUUAAUGUCCUUCAUUAUUUCCAUAAAUAAAAUUACGGAAUUACCUAAUAUGGCUAAAGUAUAUAUGACAAUUAAUGACUUUGAAUAAUAAAGAUUUGAUAAAAAUAAGUGUAUCUUAUAUUAUAUUUGUUUAAUUUUAAACUAUUAAAAUAAAUUAAACAACCAUAGUAGCCAUUUAAUAAAAAUUAAAAAAUUCUUUCUAUGUUAUAUUUUGAAUUUGUAAAAACGAGUAUAAAUUACUAAAACCAUUAAAAGUUUCACAUUCAAAUUUUGUGAUCUAUGGUUUAAAAUUUUUGUUAUGACAUGAUACAAAUAAUUAAAAAAUCAUAUAAGUUGAAUCUCUCAUUAAUAAGUAUUAAAAAUACUUUUUUAAAAAAAUAUAUGUAUAUAUAUAUAUAUAUAUAUUAUUUUAAAUUAAAUUAUAUGUCAUAUAAGAAAAUAAAUAAAUAUCUUUAUUUUGAAAUUUACUUUGAACAAUUUUAUUUUGAUAAAAAAUUUGAAAAAAUAUUGACAAAUUAAAUUUUAAAAAUAUAAUAAAUUACUUAAACUAUUAAUCCUACAAUGAAAAUUUUGUUAUCAGUAAUUUAAUUUUUUUGCUAUAACAGAUACAAAUGAUAAUAAAAAAAAAUGAGCAAAAAGCAUUAUUUAAUAAAUAUUAAUAUUAAAAUAUGCUAUAUAUAUAUCUUACUAUCAUUUAAAUUUAAUUAUAUACUAUAUCAAAUAGAAAAAAAUAUUCUUUUGGAUUAAUAAAAUUUAUUUAUAUGUUCGCACCAACUUAAUUAUAUAGGUAAUAGUUACUGACUUUUUAAUUAUUCAAUAUAUAUUUAUUAUUUCAUAAUAGGUUAGAAACAUAUAAUAUAUAAAAUAAUUUAUAUAUAUAACGUUCAUCCCGUGCAAGGCGCGGAUCUUAACCUAGUAAAUUAUUGUUGGAGAUAGUCUAAAUUUAUGGUAAGACCAAAAAAUAAUGAGUUAAAUAAAAGGGUCCAAACAACUUUCAUUGGUAGAUUUUUUUUAGACUCUUCCCUUUUUAAUAGUAUUGAUAAUAUUUAUAUAAUAUAUAUAUGGUCACAUACAUAAUAGAUUAGUCUAUGGAUCCACGAGUUUAUAUAUUAUUGCAUCAAAAAAAUGUUGGUUAGUAAUCCGUAUAUGGGAUAUCAAUAACUAAAUAGAGAAAUUUAUAAUUAAGGGGUGAGAUUUAUAGAAGGUAAUAUAGUAGUUAUCAUAAAUAUAGGAGUGACACACUUAUAAUAUUUAAAGAAAAUCAGAGAAAUUUAUGAAAAUAUAUUGUUAGGAGAAAUUUAAGUAGGACCGUAAAAUUAUUAACUUAUAAUAUUUUUUUCUAAUUUAAAUUGUUAAAUAAUUUAUAUUUAGGUUAUGAUAUAUAUUUAUAUAAAUGUUAAGAUACAUGUCAUAAUUAAAAUUUGUUUUUAAACUUUAACACGUUAAAUUAACAUAUUUUUUACUAUUUAAAUAUGUUUUUGUAAUUUUGUUGGCUAUCUAUUUAUCAUAUUUAGCAAAACUAUAUGUUGAGUGUUGGAAUAAAUGUUUUAGAUAUUUAAUUAAACUGUAGAAUAUUUUUGGAUCGACCACAUGCUCAAUAAUCGAUUGAUCCGUAAAAAGAUGGUCGAUCACCUUGGCCAGGUAAGUACAAUUUUAGCAAAAAUAUCUUUGAUUUUCAAAUAUUAAGUAUAUAACUAUUCUUUUGAAUAUUGUUUAUGUAAAUAUUUUUUGUGAUGUUUGAAUUUGUGAUGUUCGUAUACUUAACCUAGAUGAUAUUGAUGUUUAACAAUUUAUUGUUUUCUGGAAAUAGAAAAUAAUGAUAUAUCAAAACGUAUCUAAUACUUGUUAAAUGAUAGUAUAAUGUAAAUUACAUCCAUUAUUUGAAAAUAACCAUUUGUUGUUUUUAUUUUUUUUUUAAAUCAGAAAUUAUUUUUAUUUAAAAACAUUAUUCAUAUAUAAUAUAAUAGUUUAAGUUUGGAAGAUUAAUCUAUAUAUAUAAAUUAUGUAUAUUUUUUAAAAAAUAAUUUAAGAUAUUAUAUAUUGAGUAACUAAAUAAAAGCUGAAUUUCUUAUCUUGAAAAUCAAAUAUUUAUAUUUUUGUCUUCACGUUAGACUCACCAAUCCAUCAUAGUGUGAGGUUGAUGUUGAUGUUAUAAUGAGUUUUAUAGGGACUUUCUUGAUGUAAAACUAUACAUUUUUAUUUUUUUUGUUUAAUAUGGUAUUUCCAUUUUAAUAUAAUUUACUACCAUUUUAAGAUAGAUGUACAUUUUAAGAUAGAUGCUUAAAUCUUAAUGUUCUUUUUCUAUUUUUUAAAAUGUUUAUUUCCAUUUCUUAUAUUUUUUUACGUAAUAUCUAUAUUUUAUAUUUUAAAAUAGAUAUUUAAAUCUUAAUGUACUUUUUCCAUUUUUUCAAAUUGUGUAUUUACUUAUAUUAUAUAUUUUACAUUUUAAGAUAGAUGUUUAAUGCUUAAUGAACUUUUUCCAUUUUUUAAAAAAAGUUGUGUAUUUACUUAGUAUUAUAUAGAUAAUUCAUAUAUUAUAUAUUUAUAUUAUUUACUUAUUAUUUAUUGAUAAUUCAUAUAUUAUAUAUUUAAUGCUUAAUGUUUAUUUCCACUUCAUGACUUUUUAUUUACUUAAUAUCUCUAUUUUACAUUUUAAGAUAGAUGUUUAAAUCUUAAUGUACGUUUUCCUUUUUUUUUUAAAUUGUAUAUUUCCAUUUGUUAUGCUUUCUAUUUACGUAAUAUCUAUAUUUUAAAUUUUAAGAUAUAUUUUUAAAUCUUAAUGUAAUUUUCCAUUUUUUAAAUUGGGUAUUUACUUAUAUUAUAUAUUUACUUAUGAUUUAUUUUUCUUUAUAUUGUGUAUUUCUAUUUCUUAUACUUUCUAUUUAAUAAUAAUUUUAUAUUUUAAGAUAGAUUUACAUUUUAAGAUAGAUAUUUAAAUACUAAUAUACUUCUUCCAUUUUUUUAAAUUGUGUAUUUCCUUUUCUUAUACUUUCUAUUUGGGUAAUAUCUAUAUUUUACAUUUUAAGAUAGAUGUUUAAAUCUUAAUAUACUUUUUCCAUUGUUUUUAAGUUGUGUAUUUCUUUUUCUUAUAGUUUAUAUUUACUUAAUAUCCAUAUUUUACAUUUUAAGAUAGAUGUUUAAUAUUAAAUGUACUCUUUCCAUUUUUUAAAAAUUAUGCAUUUACUUAUUAUUGUAUAUAUUAUUCGUAUAUUUAUAUAUUUAUAAUAUUUACUUAUUAUUUAUUUUUCUAUAUAUUGAGUAUUUCUCUUUCUUAUACUUUAUAUUUAGUUAAUAUCGAUAUUUUAUAUUUUAAGAUAGAUGUUUAAAUCUUAAUGUAUUUUUCCAUUUUUAAUGUAAAACGGCAAUGUUUAAUACAAGAACUUGGACAAAUAGUCAAAUAGUUAUAUUUAUGUUUUUUUUUCUUUUUUAUAUAAAAUGGUAAUGUUACAUUAUGAAGAUAAACCAUUUUUUUUAGUGAAAAUGGUAAUCUUACAUAUGUUUAAUGUAGUUUUUCUAUUUUUUUUAUGUUGUAUGUUUACAUAUUAUUGUUAUUUUUAAAUGUAAAAUGGUAAUCUUACAUAUGCUUAAUGUAUUAUUUCCAUUUUUUAUGUUGUAUGUUUACAUAUUAUUUAUUAUUUUCUAAAUUAUAUAUGGAGAUAAACCGUCUUUUUUUUAGUGAAAAAUGGCAAUUUUACAUAUGUUUAAUGUAGUUUUUCCAUUUUUAUGUUGUAUGUUUACGUUUUAUUUUUUUUAAAUAAAAAUGUAAAAUGAUAAUCUUACAUAUGUUUAAUGUAGUAUUUCCAUUUUUUAUGUUGUAUUUUUACAUAUAUUUAUUAUUUUCAAAAUUAUAUAGAAUGUUUUUUGUUUUUUUUUAUAAAACGGUAAUGUUACAUUAUGAAGAUAAACCGUCUUUUUUUUUAAGUGAAAAAUGAUAAUCUUACAUAUUUUUAAUGUAGUUUUUCCAUUUUUUGUGUUGUAUGUUUACAUAUUAUUUAUAAUUUUCGAAAAUUAGUAAAAUUAAAAUGUAAAACUAUAUUUUAUGCAACUUGUCAUCUUUCGGGAGAAGUUUUUUUUGCUGAUGUGGAUACUCUAUGGAGCCGUCUUUUUUUUAAGUGAAAAAUGAUAAUCUUACUUAUUUUUAAUGUAGUUUUUCCAUUUUUUGUGCUGUAUGUUUACAUAUUAUUUAUAAUUUUCGAAAAUUAGUAAAAUUAAAAUGUAAAACUAUAUUUUAUGAAGAUAAGCCGUCUUUUUUUUUAAGUGAAAAAUGAUAAUCUUACAUAUUUUUAAUGUACUUUUUCCAUUUUUUGUGCUGUAUGUUUACAUAUUAUUUAUAAUUUUCAAAAAUUAGUAAAAUUAAAAUGUAAAACUAUAUUUUAUGCAACUUGUCAUCUUUCGGGAGAAGUUUUUUUUGCUGAUGUGGACGCUCUAUGGAGUCUUAAAAGGUCAAUUUUAUUAGUAUCUUUUUUAUAAAACGGUAAUGUUACAUUAUGGAGAUAAACCGUCUUUUUUUUUAAGUGAAAAAUGGUAACCUUACAUAUCUUUAAUGUAGUUUUACAAUUUUCGAAAAUAAGUAAUAUUAAAAUGUAAAACUAUAUUUUAUGCCACGUGUCAUCUUUCGGGAGAAAUUUUUUCCGCUGAUGUGGACGCCCUAUGGAGCCUCAAAAGUUCCCUUUUAUUAGUAGAGAUGCAAUAGAUUAAAUGCAAUUGAUUGAGAGGAAAAUCUAACGAUUUCCUUAGUGGCAAUUUUGACUCCAAUAAUUUCCAAUAAUUUCAGUUGUGCUAAAUACGAUCCAAACAAUUGAUCAGUGUCAAAUACGACUUCAAUUCAAUUAUAAUUCAAAAAAAUUAUUUGAACUUUUUAAAACGUACAUAAAUCUACAUUGACUCUAACAGAAGUUAGUCAAUCGUUAACAAAAUAAAACGGCGUCGUUUUGAUAAACGAAGAAAAGUGUCAAUUUUGAACCCAACACUCUCAGUCAUGCCAAAUGGGACCCGAACAUAUGAUCAGUGCCAAAAACGACUAAACUCAAUUUUAAAGAAAAAUUGCCCAAAUUUUUUAAAAUGUGCCUAAAUCUACAUUGACUCUAACAGAAGUUAGUCAACCGUUAACAAGAUAAGACAACAUCGUUUCGAUGUAUAUAACUUUUAAAAAAUAUUUCAUUUCGGGACUCAAACCCGUGCCGGAAUAUCCUUUUAAAGGGCACACUAACAACUAGACUAAAGUAAUUUUUUGAAAUAUUAUUAUAAAUUAAAAUUCUCCAUUAUAUAAACUACUAUUCUUCUUCAUCUUAUCCAAUUUAAAACUUUGGUGAUUGCUUUAUAUAUUUUAGUUAUUGUUUAAUAUAUCUAAUAUUUUGUACAACAUAUCUUAGUGAAAGAAAGGUAAAAGGCCUCUUAACAUUUUUGAACGAAAUAUCAAAAUAUAUAAUAUUAACUUUGAAAAAUAAAAAAAAUUCAACUUAAGUUUAAAAAUUAAAAAUAAUUUCUAUAAGAAAAUUUUAUAAAUAAAUUCAAAGUUUUAAGUAUAUUUAAGAUCGUAUAAUAAUAAAUAUUUUAUUUAUAUUUUAGUAAGAUAUAAGUUUAUUAAAGAUAUGAUAAAUAAAAAAACAUGUUAAUGUAUUUAUAUAAAUCAGAAAAAUUGUAUCACAACACAGUUUGAGUUCUAGAAUGAACAUAUUUAAAAAAUAUAUAUAUAUAUAUAUAUAUAUAUAUUUAUAUUUAUAUCAAAACGAUGUCGUCUUAUCUUGUUAACGGUUGACUAACUUCUGUUAGAGUCAAUGUAGAUUAUGCACGUUUUAAAAAGUUCAGGUAGUUUUUCUUAAAUUAUAAUUAAGUUGAGGUCGGUUUUGGCAGUGACCAUUUGUUUGAAUCUUAUUUGGCACGACUGAGAGUGUUGGGGUCGAAAUUGACAUCAUUCCUCGUAUAUCAAAAUGACGUCGUUUUAUCUUGUUAACGAUUGACUAACAUAUUUUAGAGUCAAUGUAGAUUUCAGCAUAUUUUAAGAAGUUUGGGUAGUUUUUUCGAAUUAUAAUUGAGUUGAGGUCGUAUUUGGCACUGAUCAAUUGUUCGGGUUGUAUUUAGCACGACCUAUAUUGUUGGGAUCGAAAUUGACACUUUUUUUCCGAAAAUACAAGAUAAGCGAUUAAAUAUCGUCAGUUAGCUCGUCUGUGUGGAUGAUGUCGGUGUGAGUCGUGUGACACACCAUUUAGAGUGUACAUUCAAAGUGACGUGGAAGUUAGUUGCAACUUGCAAGCGAUUGUAAUUGGGCCAUAGUAUAAAUAAGAGAAAUGACUAUAAAGAAGAUUAGGAAAAUUGUAAUUGCUGGUUUACUCUACUGAGAAAAACAGUUAGGGAUUUUGGAAGCUGAGACGCUUGGAGCUUUGUAAUUCCUUCGAUACUGAAUAAUACGGAGUGUUAUUCUUAUCAAAUUGGUGCGGUAAGGUGCUGAGAUCGAACAAUCAUAAACUCGAGAGACAAAAAUGGCGAGCCAAAAACAAGCGACGAUCGCGGACGUUGGAUUCAUUGUCGAAAACAUUGAUGACAACGAUUACAGCUCAAGUUGAGAUGGAUAAGCGAACGCAGGCGAGAUUCAAGAUGAUGAAGACAAAAAUUGAUCACAAUUAGCGACGAUGAUCAGAAAAGGCUUCGCGAAGCAAAUCGGUGAUUAUGAGAACUUAAACCCGAAUAUUCAUGUACGCAUUUCUGAUCUGGAACCUGGCCGUAGUAUUAGGGGGUGGUGAAAUGGUGAAUCGUAGCUCGAUAGCUGGUAGUAGAGAUCUCACUUGUUGAAACAAAUUGAAUUACAGGUGUUUGACGUAACAAAUACGUUUGGUUGGAUAGUGUUGGGAGAGAUAUUGAACAUGGUGAGUGUUAUAUAUAGAGAGGUGAUCUAGGCUGUUGAUCAAGAGAAUCAAUAGUUAAGGUUUUGGUUCUUAAGAAAAACUUGUGAUUUCUAUUUUUGUUCUUGUAAGGUUACUCAUUGAUAGUGAAUAAAAAGAAAGAGUUUUCAUACUAAUUUCAAUUAAGCACUAAGAAAAGGUUUUAAAACUUAACAAUGAUGUAUCUUGUCCAUCUUUUUAUGUAAAUUAUUUUAGCAUAAUUAUCUAGCGUUUAAAAAAAAAAAUUUGGUAAUGCUUGCAAAAUAAACGACAUCAGUUGGCUGAAAAGAAGAACCUCGUAAUGUCUUUGUGAUGAGAUUAAGAGACUUGAUUAUAAACACUUAUAUUUUUCAAUAGAGAUGGUUUUGGAACACAAACAUCUCAUACGUAGAUUUUCUUUAGCGUAAAACGAUCUCAAGUUCACUACAUUCAUUAGAUAGGAGAACUUUUCUGAGUUGAUAUGCAUUUGGUGUUAAUUAAAGAUUCACGAAGGCUCUUUCACUUUUACGAGCGAACCAAUUUCCAGCUAGUCUAUCCAUAAACAAACAACAAAUUCCAAAGCAUUUUUUAUUACAAAAUAAGACCAUCUUGAAUGGUUUAUUCUAUUUUUACUCUAAAAUAGAGUAAUUCUAAAAUAUAAUUUGAGUUUGUUCUAAUGGUAUUCCAUUUUAGAGUAGAAAAUAUAGUGAUAAAAAAAUUAUUUUAAAUAUUUGGAGUAAAUCUAUUUUUUACUCUAUUAUAGAGUGAGAAAUAUAGUACCAUUGGAACAUUUUUUACUCUAAACUCUAUUUAGAGUGAAAAAUAGAGUGGGGUUAGAGAUCCCUAAGCAUUAAAAUCACAUUAGCUAAAAUGUUAAUCGAACAGAGAGAAAAUAUGAUGAUAAAAAUUCUAAUACAAAGAUUUAGGCUACCAGGAACGAUAGCAAAAAAAAACUAUAAGAGUGACAAUAGUGGUGGUAACCAAAAUGCUCGGGUUCAUCAAAUCCAUUCACCUAAAGAGAUAGUCAUAACCACUCCAAAGAAAAGUGUAUUCUUAGUUUGUGUUUUUGACAAAUUCUCUUUGUUUUGAAGAGACUUUAAUUGGUACUAAAUCAUCUGUUUCUAGAUCAACAAUAGAUGAUCCUAUAACUGAGACCUAUGAAUUGCUAUUAGAGCAUGUUUUGUUUUUGAUCCGAACUACUUUGUUGUAACAAAAACUUUAUAUUUUUCACCUUGUUAUCGGCAUUCUUCAUGAAUAACGAUUAUUAAAAAUCUUCGACAGACGGUUAUUCUUCCGAAUCAAGGAUCAUCGAGAUCUAUCCAGCAUUUUUUUUCUCUCUCAGUUAUUUUUUGUUUAAAAACAUAAAGAUAACUCAAAUUUUAUUUCGUACCAUCUGCCAUUCCUCCAUCGUUUUAAACCAAAAAAAAAACAAAUUGUUAUUUUAUGUGUUUUCUUCUUAGUUUCGCGAUAGCUCAAAAAGAACAAAAAAGGAUAUGUCAUUUCAUAUAUGUUUUCAUUCAUCGCAAACGCAUCCUUAUUUUUUGUAUUUUCUUUGCUUGUUACUUAAAAAAAAAAGAAGAAGAAGAAGAAGAAGGCCAAUAAGGGUUAAGCUUCAAAGUCUGACAUUUAGCUUCGUCAAAAGUGCAUGAAACACUGAUUUCUCGUGACAAUCUCUCCGUGGUCUUACAGCUAUCAUGAAACAAUGCUAGACACGCCAACCAUCUUACUUCCUAAAACAGCAACGUUUUGCGACUAAAACCGGAGUGUGCGAUUCGUUCUUAAAUAAGAGUUUUCAUGUCUUGAACCCCUCUUCUAGUUAUGUCUUCUUUCUGCUCCUCGCGUUUUGUUGGGCUUUUUACCGUUUUUACUCUCUCUAGCCGACACUAGAUGGCCAACACUAAAUAAGACUCUCUGUCUUGAUAUUUUGAUAUUCAACCGCCAACAAAUUGCGCCCGAUGAUGGUGGUUUAUAAGUAUUGUUGUUUAACUAUUGUUUUGUUUUAAGAUGAUUUUGUGUUUUUUCAACGGAUGAUGAAAAUUUUAGAUUAUUUAUCUAUCGAAUAGCAUAUCAAUAAUGUAACGGUGCAACAUUUAUCACUAAACACCGAAGUUUUUCAGUUUAUUUAUGUAUAUUUAAUAAUAGUUUUGUGUUUAAGAUAUUCCAUGGCUGGGUGGAAUCCAGAAGAAUGAAGAAUAAAGUCCAUUCCUUACUAGAUGGAGCAGGUGUUAACGUUUUGAUGAAGAAGAGAUGAGAGCAGUGGCGGUCGCUUAUUUUAAUGAUCUCUAUCAGUCGUCUGGGAGUGUAGAUGUGACAGAACUUCUGCAAGGUAUGGCUCCAAGAAAAACUGAUCGUAUGAAUAGAGAUCUUAGCAGACCGAUCUCGGAUACUGAAAUUACAAAAGCAGUCAAAGCGUUGAAGAGUGAUAGUACCCCUGGAGUGGAUGGCAUGAGUGGUUAUUUCUUUAAGAAUUUCUGGAGCAUUGUGAGGACUAGAGUCAUCCAGGAGGUUCGAGGGUUUUUUGAGUCAGGUCAACUCCCUGUGGACUGGAACUUUACAGAGCUGUGUCUACUACCUAAAGUCCCGAACCCAAACCAGAUGAAGGACUUAAGGCCCACCAGUCUGUGCUCAGUGGUUUACAAAAUUGUUUCCAAGAUUCUUUGUGAUCGGCUGAAGGUGGUUUUACCGUGUAUUGUCUCACCUACGCAAGGGGCGUUUGUAGAGGGUAGGCUCAUCUCAGAUAACCUUCUGAUUGCCCAUGAAAUGGUCCAUGGAUUGAAAACAAAUCCUACCUGUAAAUCAGAGUUCAUUGCCAUCAAAACUGACAUAUCUAAGGCGUAUGACAGAGUUGAAUGGGACUUCUUGGAAGCUCUUUUUCACAAGAUGAGCUUUCACUCGCAAUGGAUUGUUUGGAUUAUGGGUUGUGUUAGAUCAGUAUCAUAUUCUGUGUUACUCAAUGGGCAGUCUUAUGGUCACAUUACUCCAAGAAGAGGCAUUAGACAAGGUGAUCCACUUUCGCAUUUUCUCUUCAUCAUGUGUGCAGAAGCGUUAGUUCACAAAAUGAACCAAGCAGAGCUAAGCAAGCUCUACUCGCCAAACAAGCUUGGAGAUUACUGAAUGAACCCACAAGUCUGCUGGCCAGAAUAUAUAAAGGGAGAUAUUUUGCAAAGUCAGACAUAUUAGAAUGUGGCAAAGGGUACAGACCAUCGUAUGCUUGGCGUAGCAUCAUCUUUGGGAGGGACUUGUUGAAACAGGGUUUAAUCAAGUCUAUUGGAAACGGCAAAACAACAUUUGUCUAGUCACAGAACUGGAUGAUGGAGGACGCACAGCGCAGGCCUAUCAACAAACAGCAAGAUAUUGCAGUCAACCUCAAAGUCUCAGCUCUAAUGGAUGGGUAUGGUCACUAGGAUCGCAACAUUUUGAGCCAUCUAUUCCCUGAGAACGAAAUGCAGGGCAUUCUAAAGAUGCAAGUAGGUAAUGCUGUUGAUCGUGAGAUUUGGGCUUUUUCAAAAAAAUGGAGCUUAUACUGUGAAGAGUGGAUAUGAGCUCGCUUCUAAAGUGAGGGAAACGAUGGCAUUACAAGAUGCAUCAACGCAGCCUGAAGCUCUAGAACUGAAACGAAGCAUUUGGAAAGUCCCAACAGUUCCAAAAAUAUGUAACUUCUUGUGGCGAGCGACCUCGGGAGCCUUAGCAGUUGCAGAAAGAUUGCACACUAGAGGUAUGCAUUUGGAUUCUCGGUGUAAGUGUGUUUGAAAGAUGGUGAAUCCAUUGAACACGUCUUGUUCAAGUGUGAUGUGGCACAGGAAGCUUGGGCUAUAGCUGGUUUCCAACCUCUAUCUAACUUCAAUUCUAUGUCUUUGGUAGAGCUUAUGUCUGUGUAUUUGCGCAUGAUGUCUUCUGACUCUAUUCCUGAAAGACAUAGAAGAUCUAUCCCAUGGAUUCUUUGGGCUAUAUGGAAGAACAGAAAUAUGUUUCUGAAUGCUGAUAUACAAGAAUCACUAAUCUUCCACAUUCAACAAGCUAUUGAAGAAGCCCGUCUUUGGAAUGAGGUAAACUUGAGACAGGAACCUGUAGACAAUCUUGGUCUGAAUGGAGAGAAGAAGAGAUGGGAAGCGCCCUUAAUUGGUGUGGUCAAGUGUAAUUUACACUCGAAUUGGCGUAAUGAUAAGCUUCAUUGUGGUGUGGCUUAUAUUAUCAGAGAUCACCAAGGUAACGUUCUUCAUCAUGCUAGAGACGCCAUCACCUCUUCACCUAAUAAGCUCACGUUGGAGCUCAGAUGUCUGAUCUGGACACUACGUAGUAUGAAAGACUUGGGGUAUACAGAAAUAGUGAGUGGUUCAGAUUUUAAAGAUGUUGGUGAGGCUGUUAAGCGACCGAAUGAUUGGCCUCGGUUUCACAUUUUUCUUCGAGAGAUACAAGAGUUAUGCUUGAUGUUUCAAUCAGUGGUUUUUGAAACAGAAUCUAUCUUAUCGAAUCAGAUAGGAAGGGAGAUUGCUAGGAGUGUCCUUCGUGAUGGCCGGUUCAAUUCGUAUCUGGCUUUAGGAGGUCCAGCCUGACUACAUCAGAGAAUCUUGAGAGAAGCCUCUUCAAACUGCUCGUAGACCUUGUAUAGGUUGAGUAUUUGGACUGUGUUGUUUCUUUUUAGCUUGAGCUAUAUCUUUUGUAUGGACUAUUGUUUCAUUUUCAUUCCAAUGAAGUUGUUAAAAAAUUUAGUUUUGUGUUUACAUACUGCUGGCUAUGUACUUUUUCAACACGGUAUUUGAUAUUUUCCAAACCUCUAUUCAAUUUCAAAGUACAUCCGUUUUGAUGUAACUUUUAGUUCUUAAUAAAGUCAUAUUUCUUUUAUUUCCGUAUGAUAUUUGCUCGGACCACAAGUGAUUUAAAUUGAAUUCAUUACUAGAUUUUGACUCGCGCUUUCAAAACGCGGGUUUAUUAUUUUUUUUUUCAAUUGACAAAUAUUUAGUAAAUGUCAUAUUUUCAUAUAUUUGUGUUUUAUUUUAUAAAAGACUUAAACUUUUUAUCUUUAUUUAUCGUAUUUCAUUUUAAAUGACUAUUUAUGUUUAAAAAUUAAACUUUAUUUCUUUAAUGAAUUAAGUUGGUAUAACUUUGAUAAAUUAAUUUUAUUAUGUGGUUAAUAUUUUGUAAAAAAAAUUAAAUACUUUUAAUAAAGAUUUAUACUUUUCAAUGAAAAAUUCAAUUUUUUUAUGCUUAAAUUAUAUUAAGAAAAUAAAAAAAUAAUAAUUAAGAAUAGUUGAAAAAAAAAAUAUUUGAACUUGGACUCAAUGGCCCAAAGGAAAAAAAUGUGAGAAUUGGAUCUGAUUUCUUAAUCGGCUCAAAUGGCCCAAGAGAGAUUUGAUGUGGGCUGGAUCCGAAAAAAUGAUUCAAUAUAGAUGUGUUAUUAAUAUUACUGGAUUGCCUUUAAUAAUACAUGCAAUGUUAAUAAAGAUAAGGACAAGCCAAGGUAAAAAAGACAAUAAAAUCAUGAUUUAAUAGUAUAAAUAUAUACCAUCUGUAGAGCUGUUUGAAAACUAUGGUUCUUAAUUAAAUAAAAUUAUCAACGAUGAAACUUUCUUUCCCACUAAUAGAAAACCUCAAAAUUUGUAAUCACUCUCCUUAUAUGAUUGUAACUUAGAUAAUGGUGUAGUAAUUAAAAGACAACUAUCAUCAUAAGCAGCCGAACCAAAGUUGAAGUCUUCUUCGUCGUCACUCACUCGUCAAUUAAUUAAGUUAAAUUAUUAUUUUUUUAAUUAAGAGUAGUGUGAAGUAGUCUUUAAUGGCUAACUAGAUUUUAACUAAAUUAUUACAAAUGUUUUAAAUAUAUAAUUUCUAUUUUGGUGUUAUAUAUUGUGUAAUUCUAUAAUAUUAUUGUUUAUAUUUUUUAUUCGGCAUUAUUAAUAUAUAGUGAUUUGUUUGAUACAUUUUGCUUUGUUAUUAAUUUUUAUUACUUACUAAUAUAUUUUCGAGUUAGGUACAAUAAAAUAACAAUAUGAAAUAAUUAAAUAGAGAACCUCUUUCAAAAUAUGUUUUUUUAAUUUAUACAUUUUGCAUAUACUAUAUUUUUAAAUUUUAUUUAUUUAUAUUAUAGAAAAGAAAUAUGCUUAAGAUAAGAGGGGUAGCACCAUCUUAUUCUCUUCGCGAGAACUUCCGGAUCGAAGAAGCAUUCGGAACGGGCUACACGUUCAUUUCGUUGGUGGAAACGAUCUAAUCCAUUCAGGUCUUCGGUUAAAAACGAAUUGAUAAUCUAUAUUUCGUGUUUAAGAAAUAUACUUUAACAUAUAGCCAUUUUAUUAUUUUACAGAAUUUAUAAGUAAAAACAUUGUUUUGAUAGCCUUAUUGUUUUAAUAAAUUUUAUAUAUAGUCGUAUCUAUCAUAUUAUUUUACUAAAAUUUAUUGAUAUAGUAUAUUUGGGAUGUUAUGAUAUUAAGUUUUAUUAUUUUUAAAUUAAGACUUCAAAAUAUCAGAUUGCUUUAAUUUUUACAAUAUAUAGUUAAUUUGUUUCGUAGUUCAUUUCAAAAAGUUAUUUUUUUUAAUUAUCUAUAGUUUUAUCUUUUGUAAAAUUUGAAAUAUUAUCAUUUUGACUUUGAAUAUGUAUUUUCAAAAUUUUAUAAUUUGUCAGAAAACUUUGGAAAAUUACAAAAUUAUUUUUGAGUUUGGAACAUUAAAUAAAUUUUGAAUUUUUUUUGGUUACUACAUUUAUAUCUUAUUUUUAAAAAAUUAUUAAAACUUUUGGCAAUAUUUUAAAACAAUUCCCAACAUAUUUUGUUAUUAUUAAAAUAAAAAUAAAUUUAUAAUUAAAAUUUGAUUUGUCAUUAAUAUUUUAACUGAAUUACUAAAAUUUCAUAGUUUUCUAAUAUGUUAUUUUUUAAAUAGUAUAUGAACUAAAAGUUAUUAUAUACUAUUAUAUUUGGUAUAAAAACAUAUUGUACACCAUAUAUUGUUGAGAGUUACAAAAUAAAAAAAAGAAAAUAUAUAAUUGUAGAUAUAAAAGAUUUUUUUUGUCAACAGAUAUAAAAGAUUAACCUAUGUUAAUUCAUUUAUUUUUAAUAUUAUAUAGUUUAAUUUUAAUCCAGUUUAAUGAUGAGUGAUAAUUUAUUUAAAUAAAAAACAUAUAUAAAAUUUUUUAGUUUACCUAUUUUAGUAUAUUUUCAUAUUUAAUUCAUAUAGUGCUGCUAUUUUUUUAUAUAAUACAUAAUUUAAUUACAGAAUUUAUAAAAAUAGUAUAAAAUUUGUAUUUUCUUGUUUUAUAAUAAAAUUUUAGUUAACAUUGAUUUAUAUAAUAAAUUUUUAUAAAAACAUUUUUAUUUUUAUGAUAAAAUUUUGUAAGAUUCUUUCUCAACAUAUUUUGUUAUAAUUAUAAUAAAAUUCAAAUUUAUAGUUGGUUUAUUAUUAGGAAAAUUUGGAGAAAUACAUUUAUAUGAGAUUUAAAUUUGAAAACUACACCAUUACUUAAUUGUUUUUGGUAAAAUACAGUUUUGUAUAUGUAAAUUUAGUAAAUGAUCCUAUCUGAAUAAUUAAUAUUGUUGUCAAAUUUUUUUUAUCACCUAUAAUUUAUGUAGUAUUUAAAUUAACAGGUUCAACAAGAAUAUUAUCUAAAGAAUAUCUUUAAAAAAUAUAUUUUAAAUUUUUAUCGAAGAAAAAGAAAAGUGUAGUGUGUACUCUUAUCCGUGAUUUUUUAUUCUUUAGUUUUAUAAAGCAUUUUCUCUUUUUUUUUAGGCUAGAUUUUCCUCUUCCUCUCAUUCAUCACAGAUUUGUCAACUGUUCAUUAAUGUUCUUAAGUAUAAUUUGAUUUUUUUAACUCAUCAUAACAAAUCUGAGUAGUCAUUUAAAACUUAAUUGAUAGAGACCUGUAGCAAGAAUGAAUAUGUUUGUAUAAGAUAUUCAUUGAUAUAUUUAUACAGAGACGAAUCCAAAAUUUUUUUUAGUGGGUGUACAGUGAUUAAUAUCAAAAAAAAAAGUGUAGAUAUCAAAUUGUGAAUUAUUAAUAGAAUAUUUUUCAAAUUAUUUUUUAUUAUUAAUGUAAAUAAUCAAAUAUGUUAUAUUAACUAUUUUUUUAAGUAUGUCUUGUAACGACUUGUUAAUAGUAAAUACAAAUAGAAGCCUAAAUUAAUAAAUUAGAAGCAAAGAACGGGUCAUCAACGGCAGCCAAAGAAAGAUCUUAAGAUUCACAGCUCACUUUUUCCGAUUCUUCCGUUUCUAGUCAACGCUCCCCUUCCUUUCCUCUCUCCUUCUUCUCUCCAAAGUUCACAACGUUUUAGAUCUCAAUCUUGAUUACCCGCCAAGUGUUUGAUCUUUUUGUGUUCUGGGUUUUCGAUCUUACUACUGAAAGUCUCAACCUUUAGUGAUGGCGCAUCAUCCAAUUUACACAGAGACUCUCUCAAUGGGAGGAGGGUCAAGCCACGGUUUCGGGCAGCAACCCGUGCCCUUUGCCACCAGCAGCGGAUCUUUGCGUGUAGAGCUGCUGCACGGUAACUUAGACAUUUGGGUUAAAGAAGCCAAACACCUUCCCAACAUGGACGGCUUCCACAACCGUCUCGGUGGGAUGCUGUCCGGUCUAACCAGGAGGAACACUAGCAAAGAUGAGAAGCCCUCCAAGAUCACGAGCGACCCUUACGUGACCGUCUCCAUCUCAGGCGCUGUCAUCGGCAGAACCUUCGUGAUCAGCAACAGCGAGAACCCUGUGUGGAUGCAGCACUUCGACGUCCCCGUGGCUCACAGCGCUGCUGAAGUUCACUUUGUGGUGAAAGACAGCGACAUCAUCGGGUCACAGAUCAUGGGAGCUGUCGGAAUCCCAACGGAGCAGCUGUCUUCAGGGAACAGAAUCGAAGGGUUUUUUCCGAUACUGAACAGUAGUGGGAAGCCUUGCAAACAGGGAGCCGUGUUGAGUUUGUCAGUUCAAUACACUCCGAUUGAAAGGAUGAGGCUUUACCAGAUGGGUGUUGGUUUUGGUAACGAGUGUGUUGGAGUUCCCGGUACGUACUUCCCUUUGAGGAAAGGAGGUAGGGUUACUCUGUACCAGGAUGCUCAUGUUGAUGAUGGUACGCUUCCGAGUGUGUAUCUUGACGGUGGUGUGCAGUAUAGACAUGGGAAGUGCUGGGAGGAUAUGGCUGAUGCGAUUAGGCAGGCGAGGAGGUUGGUUUAUAUUACUGGUUGGUCGGUUUACCAUCCGGUUAGGCUGGUUCGGCGGAAUAAUGAUCCAACAGAUGGUACAUUAGGGGACUUGCUUAAGGCCAAGUCUCAGGAAGGUGUUAGAGUGUUGGUUUUGGUGUGGGAUGAUCCUACUUCAAGGAGCCUUCUUGGGUUCAAAACUGUAAGAAUCUCCCUGACAACGAGAACAUGUUAUAGUAACUAUAUGUUAUAUCCUUUUAGCUAGUUGUUAUAGUAACUAUAGCAUUGUUGACAUGUUUUUAGUACUAACUGAAGCAACAAUUCAUUUAUUUGUUUAAUGAAAGAUGGUGUUUUGUUGCUAUGUAGCAAGGAGUUAUGAACACAAGCGAUGAAGAGACUCGCCGGUUCUUCAAGCAUUCUUCAGUGCAAGUUCUUCUUUGUCCAAGAUCUGGAGGGAAAGGUCACAGCUUCGUAAAGAAAUCUGUAAGAUUCUCAAUAGUUACUGCAUUACUGCUUAAUCUCCCUUAUGUAUAAGCUGAAUCUUGGGUGUUAUUUUGAUGAACAGGAAGUUGGAACUAUCUACACACAUCAUCAGAAAACUGUGAUUGUAGAUGCUGAUGCAGGUCAGAACCGAAGAAAGAUCGUAGCUUUUGUUGGAGGUCUAGACGUGUGCAACGGACGUUUUGAUACUCCCAAGCAUCCUCUCUUCAGGACACUGAAGACACUCCAUAAAGAUGACUUCCACAACCCUAACUUUUUGGUAACCAUUUCAAGAAAAAAACAUGUUUGGUUGCAAUGUUAGUUUAGAUUCAAUUGAUGGAAACUUUUUUUUUUUUUUUUUGGUAAUAGACUACUGCGGAUGAUGGACCAAGAGAGCCAUGGCAUGAUCUGCACAGCAAGAUUGAUGGUCCAGCUGCGUACGAUGUACUUGCUAAUUUUGAAGAACGCUGGAGAAAGGCUUCAAAAUCUCGCGGAUUGGGGAAGUUAAGAUCAGCUUCUGAUGAUUCGUUGCUUUCCAUAGAGAGGAUUCAAGACAUCGUAGGACUAUCAGAAGCUUCUUCUGUUAAUGAGAAUGAUCCAGAGACUUGGCAUGCUCAGGUUUUCCGUUCAAUUGAUUCAAGUUCAGUCAAAGGGUUUCCAAAGGACCCAAAGGAAGCUACUGGAAGAGUAAGCACAACUCUGAACAUUUUGUAACUUAAGUCUUCUUUAAUCACCAACAUGUUUCUACUCUCUACUGAUUAUAUAUACUUGUGGUCACAGAAUCUACUGUGUGGGAAGAACAUACUCAUUGACAUGAGCAUACACGCGGCUUAUGUUAAGGCCAUAAGAUCUGCACAGCACUUCAUCUACAUUGAGAACCAAUAUUUUCUUGGAUCAUCAUUCAACUGGGAUUCUAACAAGGACUUGGGUAAGUAACUGUGAGCUUUUAAAGGCAAGUUCAGUUACUCAAUAGUUGCUGUACUAACAAAGGAGUUUUGGUAUUGCAGGUGCUAACAAUCUGAUCCCUAUUGAAAUCGCACUAAAGAUUGCUAACAAAAUUAGAGCAAGGGAGAAAUUUGCUGCUUACAUUGUCAUUCCAAUGUGGCCAGAAGGUGCUCCAACGAGUAACCCUAUUCAGAGGAUUCUAUACUGGCAGGUAAAAAUACCCUGUCCAUUAUCUGCUAAAUGAUCUAAUCUCGAUUAGUACUGACAUCUUUUCAUCAUAUUUUGCAGCACAAAACCAUGCAAAUGAUGUAUCAGACCAUCCACAAGGCACUUGUGGAAGUUGGACUUGAUGGACAGUAUGAGCCCCAAGACUUUCUCAACUUCUUCUGUCUUGGAACCAGAGAGGUUGCUGAUGGAACAGUUAGUGUAUAUAAUAGUCCUCGGACUCCACCUAAGUCAAACGCAAAUGCAAAUGCUAUACAGGUAUGUCUAUCUAUCAUAAAUGGAUGACUCCCGUAGAAAAUAUUUGGUUUCGGUUUAACUGAAACAACAAACCAAAUGCAGGUGCAAGCUUUGAAGAGUAGGAGGUUUAUGAUAUAUGUUCAUUCCAAAGGUAUGGUAGUGGAUGAUGAGUUUGUCUUGAUCGGUUCCGCGAAUAUCAACCAGAGAUCCUUGGAAGGAACUAGAGACACUGAAAUCGCCAUGGGUGGAUACCAACCACACCAUUCAUGGGCUAAGAAAGGUUCUCGUCCUCGUGGUCAGGUAAAAGACCAAACUCAAAAGCUAUGUAUGUCCUAAAAGCUAUGUCUGAAACAUUUGGUUUUGUUGCAAUUUCUUUUGCAGAUCUUUGGAUAUAGAAUGUCGUUGUGGGCAGAACAUCUAGGGUUUCUAGAGCAAGGUUUUGAAGAACCAGAGAAUAUGGAAUGUGUGAGACGAGUUAGGCAAUUAAGUGAGCUGAAUUGGAGACAGUACGCAGCAGAAGAGGUGACUGAGAUGCAAGGUCAUCUUCUUAAGUAUCCAGUUCAAGUGGAUAGAACAGGGAAAGUAAGUUCUCUCCCUGGAUGUGAGACGUUCCCUGAUCUCGGUGGCAAGAUCAUAGGCUCGUUCCUUGCUCUCCAAGAAAACCUCACUAUAUGAAAAACUGAAGCUUGCCUUGUAGUAUCAACAUUUGUUUCUUUUUAUUUCUUCCACUUCAAGAAACCUCUCUCUGAGUGGGAUCUGAAUGAAAGUGUGACUUUAGGGUUUAAUUGUGCUUUUUAAAAAAAAUUACGAGAUGUAAAAUUCUUCAUUACAGUUGAUCAUAGUGUGCAUUUUGGAUUUCUGUGCUAGUCCAUCUAAUCUCGUUAGCUUGUCUAACAUUUUGGAUAUACAUUUUCGUAUUCUCCCUAAUAAUUUUUAAACUAAACUAUUAUAUUCAUUUCAUUUUAUAUGAUGUGUUAGUUAAACAUGUGAAUAUACACUAAUAAUUCAAAGAUCAUUAAAAUAUCAUAUAAGAACAGGAGGAUUUACAAUUUGAUUCAAAUUGUUUCUAUCCAUUUAGUAUUAUUCAUUAUUGCUUCGAAAAUUAAAAUUUUAAUUUGUGCAAAAUUUUCUAAAACUAUAUUGAAUAGGUAGUGUUUGUAUCCCCCCAUCUUCUGUAAAUAUCAUCAAGUUCUUUAUACAAAAACUACAGAUUGUGAUGACGUACACAGUAUCGAACCUACCUACUUUCAUCACGUGUAUAAACCACAAGUCUUGUGUACUAUCGAUCGUUUUAUUUAAGUUGGGUCCCACAAAAUCGAAAUGUAAUCCGACGGUCUCUAAUUGGUAGAUAGUACAUUCUUAAUAAUGUUACAGCAAUUUCUGGUAACUAAAUCUGACGAUAGAGGUAUGACAAAUCGUAAUCGGACGGUGACGGAGAUUCCAAUGUCAAGGGAGAUCGUUACCUUUCAGAAAAGGACAUUGUUUCACUUACUUCAAGAAGUCAUUGGAAUCCCACCAUGCUCUGUCUGAUCUGGUAAAACACCUAAUUAUCAAUUAAAAAAAACAAACUUGUCUGUUUCUUUUUGAAAUUUAAGUAGUAUUGUUAAUGGUAUAUCAUUCUCCAUGAAAAGCUACGGUGUUCACGCGUGUGGAAAUCUGGUGUGAUGCAGAUUCGAAUUCGGAUAUUUUAAAGAUUCACGGAACAUCUUGACCAUCCGACCACAGACGCAUGGUUAACUUUAAGUUUAAAGUAAUGUUUUUUAUUGAAACAAAUUAAGUAUUGUUGUUAAAGUUGACAAAAAUAUAAAAUUGUUAAAAAAUAGAAAUUUAUACCUAAACACAUUUUAUCAUGUCAAUUACACUAACAAAGUGUAUUCAAGUCAAAAUUUAAGAUGAUUUGCUAUUAUUCCAAUAUGAACUUUAAAAUACCAUUUAACUUCAAUGUUGAUUGAACAUACUAGAAAUGAUGUUUUUCAUUGAGGUUGAACCAACUCUCACGCGGACUGCUCUUCAUUCAGGGAAGCCACAAAGUAUUUGUAAAUCCAAUAUUAUUGAAUUUUUUUUAAUUGUAGAUUUUCAAGUGUUUUUGGUGUUUCUAGAAUGUUUUGGUGGAUAUUCAUUGUUAAAAAUAAUCAAAUCAUAUAAUUUCAUAUGAGAUUCCAAAGCAUUUUUAAACUCAUACUAAAAUUUCAAUUUUAUCUAAAAUCAUCUUAAAACUCAUUAAAAAUCAAUCACUUUGAAUUCUUCAAAUUCAAAUUCAUCUUAAAACCCAUUAAAAUACAAAUUAUACUUGUAAGAUACUUUUUAAGAUUGAUUAGCCUAUAUUCCUUCUAACUAAGUGACAAAAUAUUACAAAGUAAAUAAAUAAUAAAUAAUAACAUGUGCUAUAAAUAGUUACCAUUUAUUCCAUUUUUUUUGCUUCACUGAUAAAGAUGAAUUACAUCUCUCGUAGAAGGCCUAUCGAGUAAAUAGAACUCAGCCUAAUUGAUUUGAAGAGGGAAUAUGUAUAGGUCGACUUGGGAAAAAAAAAAGCAAGAAGGAGGAGACCUUAGACCAAGAAAAGACAUUCACAAACACUGCUUUCCGGCGCAAGAACUAGAUUUUCACCUUUUCUUGUUCUUGUCGAAUUCAUUAAGUUUUUUAUGAUUCCAAUGUCUUUUCUUGUAAUUGAUUUAUUGUAUUUUUACCUUUUUUAACAAUCAUUUUCAUUAUAUUUGUGUUCAUUUAGAUUGUAUUUAAGAGUCUAUAUUGCAUUUUCAUAUGAAUUUAUGUUAUUUCAGGUUUUUGAGAGACCAUAUGCAGUUUGAAGCGGUUCUGUCGAUUUUGGAGAGGAUUAAGCCAUAAAAGUUCAACAAACAGCUUGGCUGAAGGUCUUAAAGAUAUAUUUCGAAGCUUAUAUUUAGCCACAAUAUAUAAAAUUGACUCAUCUUUCAGAUGGAAGUGGUCUCAAUCAAUUGAAGCUAUAUUCUAAGAGAUGUGGCCAAAUUACUGAAUUUAUGCUGCAAAGAAUGAAUGACCGCAGACAGAAAUCACAGACCGAACCCAUCCAUGAAAUCAAGGCAGGACGACUUUUGGAGAAGUAUCUCACCGCAGACGAAGCCCGUUUGUGGUCUACAUCAAUAGUAGUUUUUUAUCUAUUUUCUUUUGGGUUGACUCAAGCUUGUUGGGUUGACCGGAUUUAUUUUAAGGCCUAUAGAAGAGCAUUUUAGGGGGAAAUAAACCCUAAGUUACCUGAGCAUAGUUGCUCCUUAGUUUUGUCUUAAUAUUAAACCUUAAACUUGUGAAUCUUGCUUUUGUUUAAGAAUUUCUUUUGUUUAUCUUGUUUACAUCUCUCUGAACUCUUUAUUAUGCAUUUAUUUAUCAUGAGUUUGUGUGAUUUAAUGAAUGUUAGUGAGUAUAAUUUUUAGAGUUUUUGAGUUUGGUAUAUUAUAGUGAAAGAUGGAUGAUUUGAGAUGCCUAGAUCUAGAUUAAGAUUGUUCGUUGCUUGUUACAUGUUCUUAAUGCUAGAUCAACCUUAGUUGAUUUAGAGCUUAAAUAAUUUCAUGCUAGAAAAGUGUUUGAUGAAUAUUUGAAGUAACUUAGAUGUUUACUCAAUGGUAAUUGAUGCUUAGUGUUAGUAGAUUUGUGAUUUUAUUCAUUCUUGAAUGUAUUAGGCUAACAAAAGUUGAUGUUUGAUGCAUGACUAACAUAUGAGUUAUUGUCACAAAAGUGAAUUAGUCUAUUUGAAUGUGAUAUAUACCUAUAAAACUUGCUAGUUGAUUAUGUCUGGCAUCCUAAGUCUUAAAUUUAUCAUCUCUAGUCAAUUUCAAUUACUUACCAAAACCUUGCAUUUCUUGUAUUUUUAUAAGUUUGACUUUUGAUUGACUUUUUAUUUUGGUAAUGUCGAUCAAAACUUUUUUCUGUUUUGCUUAGAUUAGUUUGUGUAUUAUUAAUGUCAAUAGGUCUUUAUUUUUCUGUGGAUUCGAUCCUAUAGUACCAUUAUAACAUACAAUUUGAUUGUGGUAUUGCUUGCAUAACAUGUUAAUUAGUACGUGUGUAAACGCUUAAUCAGUUUGUUUAAGUUCUGUGUAACAUACAUUUUUUUCCGGGAAGUGUAACAAAAAAAUUACAUUUAACUCUUCAUUUUGUUUAAGUUCUGUGUCGGUAAAAGAAUAAAAUAAAUCUAUCUAUCUCUUUCAAUGUUUAAUUUGAAGCUUAUUAUGAGAAAAUCAUACGCAAAUAUAUGAAAUUGGUUGGAAUCUCUAUAUCUUUAUAUUCUUACAAAUUUUAAAUUUAUUGUUUCCUCUUCUGCAAGCAAAUCAAUUACCGAAGUAAUAGAUCAAUUAGUUGUAAUCAAAUCUAUUCUUAUAAUUAGUGUAAUUAUGAUUACAAUUUAUAUAUUUAAUAGAUACAUUAAAGAUACGACAUUGUAGAUAUUAUGUUUUGAUUAAUAGAAAAUAUUGGAUUUUGAGUUUGUAUUUAUUGAUUUGUUUUUUUAUAAAUCUUAGGCAAUCAAUGGGAUGAUUGGUUGGUUGAUACAUCCUAUAAGGAAAACGAAAACUAUAGGUGGUUUGAAUAUUGUACAUCGAUCGAUGCAUGAUGUAAGUUGACUAUAUAAAACUUUAGCAUGAUCAUUUCAAACUAAAGUAUAGGAAUGUUAUAUGCAUUUGUUAUAUUGUAGUUAAUAUAUUUUAAAUAUUACAUAUAUCAAGUGAUUCACUUUUUCGUAAAAAUAAAAUUCAAGUUUAUUAUUGGGUUGUAUUCGUCCGUAAUAACCUACGUUAAAUAUGAUAUAUUUUUAGGUUCAUUUAAUGACAUCAAAUUUAAAUUUGAUUAAGGAAAAUUUAUUAAUUUAACUGAAAAGGACAAGCAUUAAAAUAUGUAGACUCAUUUAAUGACAUUAAGUUUAAAUUUGAUUAAGGAAAACUUAUUAAUUUAACUGAAAAAUACAAACAUUAAAAUAGGUAGUUUAAUUUAAUUUUCAGUGACAUGGAAGUAUAAAUAAAUUAAAAAACUUAGGGGUAUUUUUUAAUGGGUAUUUUUCUUUUAAUAAUAUAGAUAUCUUAUGUGCUUCAAGGCUGAUCCAGUUACGUUGAACUUGGUCAAACAUCCCCUUCAAUCCACGUCUAUUAUAUGAAUUGAGCGAACCGGUCCUUCAUCAUAGCAAAAUAAAACAUUCAUCUAUUUAUAACUUUUUUAUAUGACUAUUUAUAACUUCUAGACAUUAAUGGUUAAUAUGUAUGUAACAAUAUAUCAUUCGAUUUCAAAUGAUUCACAAAUAUAUUUAGUAAUUGUAUUAAAUUUCAGGACAUACCCUGAUUGGGCUGCACAAAUCAAAUCAGUUCAACAAUACCGUAUAAGAAUCUCUCGGAAAACCGUAACGCUACUCUAUCAUACGAAGCAGGCGUACAAAAUUGAAUUGAUCCUACUUUUUCUCCAAUAUUUACAUUCUUAUCAUUAAAAUAUUAAAUAACCAUAACUUAAGUAAUCAUUGUUUUUCUUAAUUUAUUAAAUUAUUUUCUAAAUCAUAUUUAGCUAAAUUUUUGUAUUAAAGAUAUUUCAUAAAAUGAUUUAGCUAAAUUGUAAGAAAAUUCAAGUUUGGAAAAGAUUUUUAAUCAUAUUAUCUAAUAUUUUUCAAGUAUCAUAUAGUCUCCACACAUUUAGCUUAUAAGGCCUAAAAUAUAUGCAUUUUGAACAUUCCAAAAAUAUAUGUUUAACUAUUAUGGUUAACAUUAAUUAUUUUUCACCAAUAAAAAAUAUCUAUGCUAAGAUUAAAUAUUUUUGCACUAUUUGUAAAAUAAUAUGGAUUGUUUAUAACCAAAUAUUCAAUUUUUAAUCUCUCUAAAUCUCGCUUAAUAUAUAUAUCAAAUAUUUCUAAAAUAUAUUUUUAAACUUUUCAGUUACUAUUAAUUAUUUUCAACAAUAAUAUUUAUCAUUGAAUUACUUGUAAAAUAAUAUUUAAUGUUACUAACAAUAUCAAUAUCAGCUACUAUUUUUUUUAAUGAUGACAAAAAAACAAUAUUAAUUUUUAAUGUAUCUAAAUCUCGCCAUACAACUUAUAUUUAAUCAAAAUAUUUAAAAUAUUAUUUAUUGGAAAAAAUAUUGUGUUAAAAAAAAAUUAUUCAAUCAUAUUAAUGGGUCAAUAUUUGUCGAAAAUUUAGUAUAACGCACGAAUCAAUAUUUUUUACAGUAUGUAAUAUAUUUAAUUAUUAUGUUUAUAAAUAUUUUAAAAUAUAAAGUAAACAUUUAAAUAAUAUUAAUGUAUAUAAAAAUGGAAAUAAGUAUCCGCACUGGUGUAACUUUGGCAUUGCUAUAACUAUAAAUUAAAGAAAAUGGAAAGGGAUAAAUAAUGAAAUAAAAAAGAGAAGCACGAGGGAGGGAGGGAGGGAGCUAAGUCACGAGGUCUGCGUUGUCCAGAUUCCGGAGGAAACACCUCCUGCCCCCAACCUCCAUCUCUCAGGCACACAUACAAACACACUUUUAUCUUAUUUUCCAUUUAUUUUUCGACACAUAAAUCUUUUUUUUUUAUAUUUAUAGAUAAAUCUUUAUUGUAUAUUUCAGAUAUCUAUGCUAUUAUUUAUGAAGUGUAAUUGUCGGAGGAAAAAUUGUUUUGAAUCAAUUAAUAUAUAAGGACAUAUUAGUAAUUAAUUAUCCAGAAUUUUAAUUUUUGAACACACAAAAAAAAAAGACUUUAAAACACAAGUGUACAAGAGUAUUGUGUUUGACCGAAACAAAACAUACAACUAAGUAUUAAAUAUUUUAGGAAAAUAAAAAGAGAAAAAUCCACCUAAUAUAUCUCCUGGAUUUGUUAUUAAAAACAAAUUGAGUUUCGUUUCUGUUUUCAACCGAUUCAUAUAUUUCUUUUAUAGAGCUUCAAAUCUCUCUCUCUCUCUCUCUCUCUCUCUUUCUCUCUUCUGCUAAGAUCGAACCUUUAGAAGAAGAAGAAGAAGAAGUCCUUUCGUUUCCAUUCAACAAUGGCGAAGAACGUCGGGAUAUUGGCUAUGGACAUCUAUUUUCCUCCCACAUGUGUUCAACAGGUAUAUUCCCCUCCAAGCUUUUUUUAAUGGACAAGAGCUAUUGCAUUGAUACUCUGUUUCUGUCUGAAAAUCUGUUUUUAGCGUCUCGGAUAGAGUUGAAGAUUUAGACCGAGUUUGUUCUUUGUCUCUGGGUUUUGUAAUGUGGCUGAGUUUGGUAUUUAGAUGAAGUUUUUAAAAAAAAUUAUUUUUCUUUUUUUUUUAAUUAAAAUAGGAGAAUUAUGAUUAAAAAGUCUCAGACUUGAGAUCUCUUCUUCUUGGUCUGAGAUUUGGUGAUGAUACUUGAGAUUGAUUUUAUUAAAAAAGUGUUUAGUUGAUUGAAGUUACCCUUUGAUCCUGAGAUUUUCUAAUUAAGUCUCAGUUGAAAAACUCUUAAAAUCGAUUUUUACAACUCUGGUUCUGUUCAAUCUCUCUCUUUUUUUGCAAUUCUUGAGUUCAUGUCUGAAACUAUGGUGUUUAUGAUUGAUGAAUUAGAUCAAUGUUUUGUUGUUACAUUAGGAAGCUUUGGAAGCUCAUGAUGGAGCUAGCAAAGGCAAAUACACCAUUGGACUUGGCCAAGAUUGUUUAGCUUUCUGCACUGAGCUUGAAGAUGUCAUCUCAAUGAGGUCAUUAUUAAUUAUUUUUUUGUUUUGUUUGCAUUAAGUAUAUUCUCAUGCAAUUCUAUAUGUUGAUCUGUGUUCUUGUUUCUUAGUUUUAAUGCGGUGACAUCUCUUCUAGACAAGUAUAAAAUUGACCCCACGCAAAUUGGGCGUCUUGAAGUAGGAAGUGAGACUGUCAUUGACAAAAGCAAGUCCAUCAAAACCUUCUUGAUGCAACUCUUUGAGGUAUUAUCCUUUACUCAAGCUUCUUUGUGUAAAAAGACAAUUAAAAAUUUGUUUUGUUUUGUAUUUGUGAAUGAUCAGAAAUGUGGAAACACUGAUGUGGAAGGUGUUGACUCGACCAAUGCUUGUUAUGGUGGAACUGCUGCUUUGCUAAACUGUGUCAAUUGGGUUGAGAGUAACUCCUGGGAUGGUCGCUAUGGACUUGUCAUCUGCACUGACAGUGCGGUAUAACAUCUGACACUUAGAAAAUGUAAUCUUUCAUGGCUAAGAGUCUUUUGCACAAAGCUUUAUACAUUUUUUUGGAUGACUUCAGGUUUAUGCAGAAGGACCUGCAAGGCCCACAGGAGGAGCAGCAGCCAUUGCUAUGUUGAUAGGACCUAAUGCUCCUAUUGUUUUCGAAAGCAAACUGAGAGGAAGCCACAUGGCUCAUGUCUAUGACUUUUACAAGCCAAAUCUUGCUAGCGAGUACCCGGUAAAUCUUCAGUGCAUAACCUCAAGUGGUUCAAAUUCUUGUUUGCGUGGCCGUGGCCGGCCCUCAGAUUUUGGAGGGGGUUGUAGGCGAUUUACUAAAUAUUUCAAUAGUAAAAUAGUUUUUUUUUUCUUACAAAUUUGGGGGUCUAUGUCUAUGUAACUUUUUCCAAAAAAAAUUGGGGGCCAGAGGUCAAUGUUUCAUUCGGCUUUGCCCAAGACCGGUCCUACUUGUUUGGUUAAUCGUUUUCUCGUGUUCUUGUAGGUUGUUGAUGGUAAGCUUUCACAGACUUGCUACCUUAUGGCACUUGACUCCUGCUAUAAACAUAUGUGCAACAAGUAAGUACAUUGUGCUUAUGAAUUGAAAUCUCUGUACCUUUCUUUCUACCUCUUCUGAUUUUCUGUGUUGGCUCAUUACACUUACUAGGUUUGAGAAACUGGAGGGGAAAGAGUUCUCCAUCAAUGAUGCAGACUACUUUGUAUUCCAUUCUCCAUACAACAAAGUAAUCUCUUAACCCUCCCAACAACAACAGUUUUGUUCUUUGCCUGAACCGUCUCUGACCAGUCAUCUCUUCUUUGCUGUUGCAGCUUGUACAGAAAAGCUUUGCUCGUCUCUUGUACAACGACUUCUUGAGAAACGCAAGGUUCUUGCUCUGGAUUGAAAGUUUCCUAAACUUGUUUAUAUUAAUUGAGUUAAACAUAUCUGUUUCCUCUAUUUCAGCUCCAUUGAUGAGGCUGCCAAAGAGAAGUUCACUCCUUAUUCGUCUUUGUCACUCGACGAGAGUUACCAAAGCCGUGAUCUUGAAAAGGUUUUUCAUCUUUUUUUUUUUUUUUGAUACUUGGAAAAAGCAAAACCAGAGUUAUUAUAGCUUUGUUGUCUUUUGCAGGUGUCACAACAAGUUGCAAAAACGUUUUAUGAUGCUAAAGUGCAACCAACGACUUUAGUACCAAAAGAAGUCGGUAACAUGUACACUGCUUCUCUCUACGCAGCUUUUGCUUCUCUCAUCCACAACAAACACAGCGAUUUGGUAAACUAUAAAAAUAACAAACAAACUUUUUCUUCUCACUUUCUUGUAUACAUUAUUUACAUUUUGGUUUCAUUUGUGUUUUUCUAUAGGCAGAGAAGAGGGUGGUUAUGUUCUCAUAUGGAAGUGGUUCAACCGCAACAAUGUUUUCGUUGCGUCUCUGCGAAAACCAGUCUCCUUUCAGCCUCUCAAACAUUGCAUCAGUGAUGGACAUCGGCGGUAAACUGAAGGCUAGACAUGAGGUUGAACAUCCCUAAGUGAAACCAUGUUUCUACUUAAUAUCAUUGUUCUCAUCUUGGCUUUGUGUUGUUUGCAGUAUGCACCUGAGAAGUUUGUGGAGACAAUGAAGCUGAUGGAACAUAGGUACGGAGCAAAGGAGUUUGUGACGAGCAAAGAAGGUAUCAUAGACCUUUUGGCUCCGGGGACUUAUUAUCUGAAAGAGGUUGAUUCACUGUACCGGAGAUUCUAUGGCAAGAAAGGAGACGAUGGAUCCAUAGCCAAUGGACACUGAAAGGCAAAGAAGCUUAAACUACUCUAGAAGAUGGUCUCUACUCAUCACUUUUAUGUUACUUCCUAUAUUUAAAACGUUUUUUUUAUAAAGU
rnacentral:lncRNA from 1 species